GACGAACGCUGGCGGCGUGCUUAACACAUGCAAGUCGAACGGAAAGGCCUUGCUUUUGUGGGGUGCUCGAGUGGCGAACGGGUGAGUAACACGUGAGUAACCUGCCCUUGACUUUGGGAUAACUUCAGGAAACUGGGGCUAAUACCGGAUAGGAGCUCCUGCUGCAUGGUGGGGGUUGGAAAGUUUCGGCGGUUGGGGAUGGACUCGCGGCUUAUCAGCUUGUUGGUGGGGUAGUGGCUUACCAAGGCUUUGACGGGUAGCCGGCCUGAGAGGGUGACCGGCCACAUUGGGACUGAGAUACGGCCCAGACUCCUACGGGAGGCAGAAGUGGGGAAUAUUGCACGAUGGGCGGAAGCCUGAUGCAGCAACGCCGCGUGCGGGAUGACGGCCUUCGGGUUGUAAACCGCUUUCGCCUGUGACGAAGCGUGAGUGACGGUAAUGGGUAAAGAAGCACCGGCUAACUACGUG
rnacentral:rRNA from 1 species